rnacentral:rRNA from 1 species
CAGCACCUCAAGUGGUCAGGAUGAUUAUUGGGCCUAAAGCAUCCGUAGCCGGCGCUGUAAGUUUUCGGUUAAAUCUGUACGCUCAACGUACAGGCUGCCGGGAAUACUGCAGCGCUAGGGAGUGGGAGAGGUAGACGGUACUCGGUAGGAAGGGGUAAAAUCCUUUGAUCUAUUAAUGACCACCUGUGGCGAAGGCGGUCUACCAGAACACGUCCGACGGUGAGGGAUGAAAGCUGGGGGAGCAAACCGGAUUAGGUACCCGAGUAGUCC